rnacentral:sRNA from 1 species
CUCCUUUUACGGCUAAAACUGUACCACUUUUACUAUGAAGUUUCCAAACUUCAUAGUAAAAGUGGUACAGUUUUAGCCGUAAAAGG